AGUGAACGCUGGCGGCGUGCCUAACACAUGCAAGUCGCGCGUGAAAGGGUAGCAAUAUCCGAGUAAAGCGGCGAACGGGUGAGUAACACGUGGUUAACCUGCCGAGAUGUGGGGGAUACCCCGGGGAAACCCGGGCUAAUACCGCAUGAUGUCUUCCGGGCGUGGGCCUGGAGGAGCAAAGCCGGGGACCGCAAGGCCUGGCGCAUUUCGAGGGGACCGCGGCCGAUUAGCUAGUUGGCGGGGUAG
rnacentral:rRNA from 1 species